rnacentral:rRNA from 1 species
CUCGUGCCGUGAGGUGUCGGCUUAAGUGCCAUAACGAGCGCAACCCUCAUCAUUAGUUACCAUCAGGUAAGGCUGGGGACUCUAAUGAGACUGCCAUCGUAAGAUGUGAGGAAGGUGGGGAUGACGUCAAAUCAGCACGGCCCUACGUCCGGGCGACACACGUGUUACAAUGGGUGGUACAAAGGGCAGCUACCUGGCGACAGGAUGCUAAUCUCGAAAACCGCUCUCAGUUCGGAUCGGAGUCUGCAACUCGACUCCGUGAAGCUGGAUUCGCUAGUAAUCGCGCAUCAGCCACGGCGCGGUGAAUACGUUCCCGGGCCUU